UGGGGAAUCUUGCGCAAUGGGCGAAAGCCUGACGCAGCGACGCCGCGUGGGGGAUGAAGGCCUUCGGGUUGUAAACCCCUUUCAGCAGGGACGAAGCGAAAGUGACGGUACCUGCAGAAGAAGCGCCGGCUAACUACGUGCCAGCAGCCGCGGUAACACGUAGGGCGCAAGCGUUGUCCGGAAUUAUUGGGCGUAAAGAGCUCGUAGGCGGACUGUCACGUCUGCUGUGAAAAGCUGGGGCUUAACCCUGGCCUUGCAGUGGAUACGGGCAGGCUAGAGGCAGGCAGGGGAGAACGGAAUUCCCGGUGUAGCGGUGAAAUGCGCAGAUAUCGGGAGGAACACCGGUGGCGAAGGCGGUUCUCUGGGCCUGUUCUGACGCUGAGGAGCGAAAGCGUGGGUAGCAAACAGGAUUAGAUACCCCCGUAGUCC
rnacentral:rRNA from 1 species